GAUGAACGCUGGCGGCGUGCCUAAUACAUGCAAGUCGAGCGAACAGACGAGGAGCUUGCUCCUCUGACGUUAGCGGCGGACGGGUGAGUAACACGUGGAUAACCUACCUAUAAGACUGGGAUAACUUCGGGAAACCGGAGCUAAUACCGGAUAAUAUAUUGAACCGCAUGGUUCAAUAGUGAAAGACGGUUUUGCUGCCACUUAUAGAUGGAUCCGCGCCGCAUUAGCUAGUUGGUAAGGUAACGGCUUACCAAGGCGACGAUGCGUAGCCGACCUGAGAGGGUGAUCGGCCACACUGGAACUGAGACACGGUCCAGACUCCUACGGGAGGCAGCAGUAGGGAAUCUUCCGCAAUGGGCGAAAGCCUGACGGAGCAACGCCGCGUGAGUGAUGAAGGUCUUCGGAUCGUAAAACUCUGUUAUGAGGGAAGAACAAAUGUGUAAGUAACUAUGCACGUCUUGACGGUACCUAGUCAGAAAGCCACGGCUAACUACGUG
rnacentral:rRNA from 1 species